rnacentral:rRNA from 1 species
GACGAACGCUGGCGGCGUGCUUAACACAUGCAAGUCGAACGAAGAGCGAUGGAUGCUUGCUUCUAUCAAUCUUAGUGGCGAACGGGUGAGUAACGCGUAAUCAACCUGUCCUCCAGAGCGGGACAACAGCCGGCAACGACUGCUAAUACCGCAUACGAUCUAACCUCGGCAUCGCGGAUAGAUGAAAGGUGGCCUCUACAUGUAAGCUAUCACUGAAGGAGGGGAUUGCGUCUGAUUAGCUAGUUGGAGGGGUAACGGCCCACCAAGGCGAUGAUCAGUAGCCGGUCUGGGAGGAUGAGCGACCACACUGAGACUGAGACACGGACCAGACCCAUACGGGUGGCAGCGGUAGGGAUGCUUCCGAAAUGGACGAGAGUCUGACGGAGAAACGCCGCGUGAGUGAUGACGGCCUUCGGGUUGUAAAGCUCUGUUAGUCGGGACGAGAGGCCUUCUUGCGAAUAGUGAGAAGGAUUGACGGUACCGGAAUAGAAAGCCACGGCUAACUACGUG